AUCAAGGCCCGCCCACAUUGUAAAAGUAGAAGAAGAAGAAGAACGCGUCACUGGUUUGAGGCAGUCGGUGAGCGCGAGGUGAGCCGAGUUGUGCGGGAAGAAGUCGCGUAUUUUGCGGUUGUUGCUCAUCGAAAAUACCCCAGAAGCGAAGCAUAUCGAUUUAAAUCGCAACCACCGCGCCUGUGUGUGCGCGCGGACCUUUUGCCGAAACAGGUAGGCUCGCCCGUAGCCGAGAUAUAAACUGUUUAGAGGAAGGCUGCUAGGCCUCACGCGGCUCCGCCAUGAGUUACGGUAGGCCUCCGCCAGACGUCGACGGCAUGACUUCCCUCAAAGUGGACAACUUGACGUACAGGACGUCGCCCGAGACCCUGCGACGCGUGUUCGAGAAGUACGGCCGGGUAGGCGACGUCUACAUCCCCCGGGACCGCUACACCAAAGAGAGCCGCGGCUUCGCCUUCGUGCGUUUCCACGACAAGCGUGACGCCGAGGACGCGAUGGACGCCAUGGACGGCGCGCUGCUCGACGGACGGGAGCUGCGGGUCCAGAUGGCGCGCUACGGCAGACCGCCUGACUCCCACUACGGGGGCAGUGGAGGCGGCGGAGGAGGAGGAGGAGGCCGGGACCGUGAUGGUGGAGGUGGUGGUGGAGGAGGUGGAGGAGGAGGGAGCCGGCGAGGAGGGCCUACCAGGAGGUACGGCGGACACGGACAACGAAGCAGAAGCUCUUCCCCUAGCCCGAGACACAGAAGGCGCAGCCGGUCCCGCAGCAGGAGCCGCUCUCGGUCCCGUAGCCGGUCCCGCUACAGCAGAUCCAGGUCCCGGUCCUACUCCCGAUCCAAGUCUCACUCUCCCAGGAACAAGAAGGUCAAGGCCAAGUCCCCGUCUCGUUCUAGAUCCAGGUCCCGGUCCAAGUCCAAAUCAAAGUCCAAGUCCAAAUCCAAAUCAAAGUCUAGGUCCAGAAGCCACACCCCUUCCUCCAAAAGAGGGUCCAGGUCAAGAUCUAAAAGCCAGCCCAAGUCAGCAGCAGAGAAUGGAGGCGAAUCCCCGUAAAGCUCAGAAUCAGCUGCGGCAUCCUGUUUGCUAAAGUGGAGUUUGAGCUGAGCUGAGGCAGUAUGAGCAGUUAGCAGGGAUGUGGUGAGCUGCCCACAGGCCGCCUGCUGCUGGUGAGGGUUUCUGUGCAGCAGGGUGGAGGCAGUCAGAGUUGGGGUUUGGUGUUGAGGUACGUCUGUGUCUGCCACCGGACACGAAACGGUCCUCCACGUGGCGUCCCCGGUCGGGGGACGCUGGUGCUCGAGGAGCGCUGAGUUUUCAGGUGAAGACGAGAGCGUUGAGUCCUCGACUGGAUCCAACCUGAGCUACAGUGUCCUGCUGUAAAAGGUUAUUAUUGUGUCUUCCAUGAUUUGCUUUGUUUUAUUAAUUUGGCUGCAAAAAAAGUCUCUGUCACUUCAUUGAUGUGCUGUGAUUUUAUUUUCAUAAUGAUUUUAAAAUCUGGGUCAAUGUGGAGAGGAAUAACUGUAGUGAUGAUGGGAUUAUUCACAAAUUAAGUUUGUACCAGUUGCUCUUUUUUCUUUUUCUUUCCCCCCCCCCGUCCAGUUUCAGAUAACCAGUAUGUAGUCCUGCUCUCUUUUUAAAAACUCACAUUAAUCCUGGAUUAACUGAGGCACCAUUUGUAACCUGAUGACUCAGUCCAGCAAUGAGUGUUUUGAAAUGAGACAGAAUUCAUAAUUACUUAACAAUAACAUGAACAGAAACAAUGUGGAUGAUUUAAUUAUACUUUUGGGGAGGUUAAGUUUUUGUUGUGGCAAAAAGCAGUUUUAGUUAAAAGGUAAAAACAUACAGUUGGUAUAACUAUUACACAAAACAGACAGAUUGUACGAAUGUGUUAACUUUUCUAGAACUGCAGCUUUAUUUCUCCAUUUAAUUGUUUGGUCUUUAAAGUUGUUUUCUUUUCUCAGUCAAAUGAUCAAACAAUUCUCCAAAUAUGUACUGAUUUAUUGUCUUUCGAUUGCUAAUUGAUUAAAUGAUUUUCAGCUAUAAACAUUUUCCCUGAGGUCUCACUUUAUGGUAAUAACUGUCUUUCGUCCUUGUUGAGGUCCUGUGGAAAUGUUAUUUGAGCGUUAAACACGGUGAAACCUGAAAGCCGGAGUUAAGCUUAAAGUUAGCUGACUGACUAGUUAAUCUGGCUUUAUGGAAGCUCAGUCGGAACAAAACAUUUGAAGAAGCCAUGUCUUCACUAGAGAUAAACCAGCAAGACAUACCCCACACCAACUAUUAUACUUAUACACUCGAUUAUUGAUUUCAUAUCUGUGGAAACAUUUUAUUAAACUGAAGUAAUCGCCCAUAAAGCUCAAUACAUUUACUGGCCUCCUCCCAGUCCUAGAUUUCUGUCUCUCAAGCGUCUUUGUAGGACAUCAGAUCACUUAAACUCUGGUGAUCAUUUUUAGGGAAUCCGCUCAUCUCCUUUGAAUCUUACAGGACAACUUGAACUGGACUCUAGAUGCAGCGUUUUUUGUUUUUCUUUUUUUCUUUUUUGAUCCUAAUCCUGCUUGUGUGUUUGUUUUGUGCACUAGGCGCAGUUGUGUAGCAGUUGAGUUGUGCUGGUUAGCUGUUAAGGUGGCGUGUUGCUCUGCUGAGUGUUGGAUGUAUCCAGUAUUCUCCAGAGUGCUCCUGUGACUACCGGUGGUGCGGUCGCUACUCUCUCCCUUUGUGAGAAAUGUUUCCCCCAUGUGCUCAUGGAUGACAAAUGUGACUUUCAUUAAAGAUUUGGUGUUUUAU